rnacentral:piRNA from 1 species
UCCCAUGUCAGACCAUAGAGGCCUACUGCUC